rnacentral:rRNA from 1 species
GCAGCAGGCGCGCAAAUUACCCACUCCCGGCACGGGGAGGUAGUGACGAAAAAUAACGAUACGGGACUCAUCCGAGGCCCCGUAAUCGGAAUGAGUACACUCUAAACCCUUUAACGAGGAUCAAUUGGAGGGCAAGUCUGGUGCCAGCAGCCGCGGUAAUUCCAGCUCCAAUAGCGUAUAUUAAAGUUGUUGCGGUUAAAAAGCUCGUAGUCGAAUUUGUGUUUCGCGCCGCCGGUUCAUCGUUCGCGGUGUCAACUGGCGUGUCGCGAGACGUCCUGCCGGCGGGCUUAGCCUUUCGGGGCGGCCCAACUCAAUCCCGCCGCGGUGCUCUUUGUUGAGUGUCGAGGUGGGCCGGCACGUUUACUUUGAACAAAUUAGAGUGCUUAAAGCAGGCUAAAACUUCGCCUGAAUACUGUGUGCAUGGAAUAAUGAAACAGGACCUCGGUUCUAUUUUGUUGGUUUUCGGAACCCCGAGGUAAUGAUUAACAGGAACGGAUGGGGGCAUUCGUAUUGCGACGUUAGAGGUGAAAUUCUUGGAUCGUCGCAAGACGGACAGAAGCGAAAGCAUUUGCCAAAAACGUUUUCAUUGAUCAAGAACGAAAGUUAGAGGUUCGAAGGCGAUCAGAUACCGCCCUAGUUCUAACCAUAAACGAUGCCAGCUAGCGAUCCGCCGACGUUCCACAUAUGACUCGGCGGGCAGCUUCCGGGAAACCAAAGCUUUUGGGUUCCGGGGGAAGUAUGGUUGCAAAGCUGAAACUUAAAGGAAUUGACGGAAGGGCACCACCAGGAGUGGAGCCUGCGGCUUAAUUUGACUCAACACGGGAAACCUCACCAGGCCCGGACACCGGAAGGAUUGACAGAUUGAGAGCUCUUUCUUGAUUCGGUGGGUGGUGGUGCAUGGCCGU